CAGUAUAUCAAUGGUGUCGCUAAUACUACUGCCAUGCCAUCUCGACUUCAACCACUGCCACUUGCAGAAAAUAAGUAGGUCAAAAGUUUUUGGUUCAGAGCUGCACAGGUCCAAGUUUGUAUAGUAAGAAUGGCUCAAAUGAUCUUUUCCUUUAUCUCUAUAAGGACAUUUAACCUUUUUAUGUUGUUUUUUUCGGUAAUUUUAUGGUUUGUUAUACCCUCCCACCGCUUUUGAGUUACACUGCAGCUGCACCCAGCUGUACACCAUCAGCUCAUCAGCACCAAAUGGCAGAAAGACAAAGUUAGCACUAAGAUGGUGAACAUUAAUCAGCGAAGCAGCCAGGGACGUUUGCUGAAAACAUUCUCUGGGGAUUGGAGCGCCUUGCGAGCUGAGGGUCAUCUUACAGAUGGAGACGUUUGCUAAGUUUUUGCAGCUCUGCUACAGUAGCUUAGUCAUAUUAUUAGAUUCUCAUCAGUGAAGAAGCACAUACGCUAAAGCUGUCUGGAAAUCUGAAAAGAGAAUAAGUUGAGUUGCAGUUCAAAAAGGACAAAGGCUGGACAGGCACAUCGAGGCUGGUGCCCUACUAUUCAUGAGCCAAAAGCCAGCUGGCAUGAAUUCUUAAUCUCACUCAUGAAUGCCCAUGAUUUAUUGAUGCUGUUCCAGAGGAAAAGUUUCCCCCUAUGUCCAAAGGCUACUGCUUCAAUCUGAAGUUUUACUGUCCCGAGACAGCGACGACAUUACAGUGAAGGGAUACAUCGAGUUUCAAACAUCUAUAUUCCCUCGUUUCCUUUUCUUUCCCUAAAUCCUAGGUUAAUUUCUCAAGCCCCUUGUUUCCCACAUGGCAGUCAGCGGUAAUAUUAGUCCCCGCUGUACUGUACCAGCGAGCACCAUCUUCACUGCAAAUUUGACUCAAACGGCUCUCUUGGUUCCCUUGGAAACCAGGUGCUCAAAGAUCAGGAAAGAUCCAUUUCACACUUCAGCAGCGAGCAGAGAGACAAAGAGAUGCUUAGACAAAAGGAAAGUGGGAGGGAGAGAGGAUUAGAGAGAGAGAGAGAGGUAGGGGGGUAAAGGGAGCUUGACCUUAAAAGAUGCCUUCUUUUUACAGCCCCUUUGUCUCGAAACAGAAUGGAAAUAGCAACAAAUAGAUCAGGAAAAAUUCUUGUUGCUUCCUCUCUCUUGGGGUUUUCUGUCUUUUUAGAGAUGCCAGUAUGGGAAUGGGUUUAUUUAGAUGUGUGUCUGUAGAGAAGAGGGUGAAAAUGGCUGCAGUUCUAAUUUAUUGAUGCAGCUUUUAUUGUUAUCAGGUGUAAGGCAUGCAUGCGUGCUCUUCACACACAGACUAACAGAAGGAGAUAGCCUAAUGCAGAGAGCCAGCCUGCAUCUGAAAUGCUGCUAAAGGUCAAGAUUUCCACUUAUACACAGAUGCACUUUUUCCACUUGUUAAGAGCUUUCCAGAAAACUCAACAUCUCCCACAAACUCCUUCAGUUUGCUAUAUUCUUAAACACAUUGAACACCCAGGAAAACAAACUGUGCAG